UACGGGGGGAGCAAGCGUUGUUCGGAUUUACUGGGCGUAAAGGGCGCGUAGGCGGCCUCUGCAAGUCGACUGUGAAAUCUCCGGGCUUAACCCGGAAAGGUCAGCCGAUACUGCAGGGCUAGAGUGCAGAAGGGGCAACUGGAAUUCUCGGUGUAGCGGUGAAAUGCGCAGAUAUCAGGAGGAACACCGGUGGCGAAGGCGGGUCUCUGGGCAAUAACUGACGCUGAGGAGCGAAAGCGUGGGGAGCGAACAGG
rnacentral:rRNA from 1 species